rnacentral:rRNA from 1 species
UACGAAGGGUGCAAGCGUUAAUCGGAAUUACUGGGCGUAAAGCGCGCGUAGGUGGUUCAGUAAGUUGGAUGUGAAAUCCCCGGGCUCAACCUGGGAACUGCAUCCAAAACUGCUGAGCUAGAGUACGGUAGAGGGUGGUGGAAUUUCCUGUGUAGCGGUGAAAUGCGUAGAUAUAGGAAGGAACACCAGUGGCGAAGGCGACCACCUGGACUGAUACUGACACUGAGGUGCGAAAGCGUGGGGAGCAAACCGG